CUACGGGUUGCUGCAGUAAGGAAUAUUGCGCAAUGGACGAAAGUCUGACGCAGCGACGCCGCGUGGAUGAUGAAGCAUUUCGGUGUGUAAAAUCCUUUCAGCAGUGAAGAAACGUAAGAAUAGUAACUGAUUCUUACCUGACGGUACCUGCAGAAGAAGUCCCGGCUAAGUCCGUGCCAGCAGCCGCGGUAAUACGGGGGGACAAACGUUGUUCGGAUUUACUGGGCGUAAAGGGCGUGUAGGCGGACCUUUAAGUCGGAUGUGAAAAUCCGGGGCUUAACCUCGGACCUGCAUUCGAUACUAUUGGUCUUGAGUAUGUGAGAGGAAAGCGGAAUUCCAGGUGUAGCGGUGGAAUGCGUAGAUAUCUGGAAGAACACCAGUAGCGAAGGCGGCUUUCUGGCACAAUACUGACGCUGAGGCGCGAAGGCUAGGGGAGCAAACAGGAUUAGAUACCCGCGUAGUC
rnacentral:rRNA from 1 species